GACGAACGCUGGCGGCGUGCCUAAUACAUGCAAGUAGGACGCAGUUGCGAACGGGUGAGUAACGCGUAGGUAACUGCCUAUUAGAGGGGGAUAACUAUUGGAAACGAUAGCUAAUACCGCAUACUAGUAGAUGGACCUGCGUUGUAUUAGCUAGUAGGUAGGGUAAUGGCCUACCUAGGCGACGAUACAUAGCCGAGUUGAGAGGGUGAUCGGCCACACUGGGACUGAGACACGGGCCAAGAUCCUGAGGUGGGCAGCAGGAGGGGAUCUGCGGCAAAGGGGGGAACCCUGACCGAGCAACGCCUCGUGAGUGAAGAAGGUUUUCGGAUCGUAAAGCUCUGUUGUUAAGGCAGCGGUACUUAACCAGAAAGGGACGGCUAACUACGUGCCAGCAGCCGCGGUAAUAC
rnacentral:rRNA from 1 species